AAUUGAAUUCCAUUUCGAGCUUCAGCUUCUAAAGCCUUGCUUUAAGAAGCUAGAUCUUUUGAGUGUUCAAAGGAGGAUCCCUGGCCUGGGGAGGGUGAACGAGUGAAUGGGAGGCUGUGCUAUGACAGCCUGGCAUUUGAUUGCUGCAUGGUGACCGCAAGGGAGAGCGUGCAGAUAUGGUUUUGCUGUUGAAUGCAUUAUCUUGCUGUUCUGGUGUCCUGAUACUGCAUGGAUGAUCACCUGACCCAUUCGAAAUAGGAGGAAUAGAUACACUAGAAAUUGAUUUCUUUCUCGAGGAAACUGAGUUGCCGAUUGAUAGAAGGAAUAAACAUUUGCUCUGGAUAUAAAGGUUCUUGUGUCCAAUGAAGAGAACAAACUGAACACUUACUUAAUUAGGAUGCGUCAUUAAUUCCAGUGUCUUAUGAACCCCGGACCCC